AGUGAACGCUGGCGGUAUGCCUAACACAUGCAAGUCGAACGGCAGCACAGUAAGAGCUUGCUCUUACGGGUGGCGAGUGGCGGACGGGUGAGGAAUACAUCGGAUUCUACUUUUUCGUGGGGGAUAACGUAGGGAAACUUACGCUAAUACCGCAUACGACCUACGGGUGAAAGCAGGGGUUCUUCGGACCUUUCGCGAUUGAAUGAGCCGAUGUCGGAUUAGCUAGUUGGCGGGGUAAAGGCCCACCAAGGCGACGAUCCGUAGCUGGUCUGAGAGGAUGAUCAGCCACACUGGAACUGAGACACGGUCCAGACUCCUACGGGAGGCGGCAGUGGGGAAUAUUGGGCAAUGGGCGAAAGCCUGAUCCAGCCAUACCGCGUGGGUGAAGAAGGCCUUCGGGUUGUAAAGCCCUUUUGUUGGGAAAGAAAAGCAGCAGGUUAAUACCCCGCUGUUCUGACGGUACCCAAAGAAUAAGCACCGGCUAACUUCGUG
rnacentral:rRNA from 1 species